rnacentral:rRNA from 1 species
CAAGUCGAGCGAACAGAAGGGAGCUUGCUCCCGGAUGUUAGCGGCGGACGGGUGAGUAACACGUUGGGUAACCUGCCUGUAAGACUGGGAUAACUCCGGGAAACCGGAGCUAAUACCGGAUAGUUCCUUGAACCGCAUGGUUCAAGGAUGAAAGACGGUUUCGGCUGUCACUUACAGAUGGACCCGCGGCGCAUUAGCUAGUUGGUGGGGUAAUGGCUCACCAAGGCGACGAUGCGUAGCCGACCUGAGAGGGUGAUCGGCCACACUGGGACUGAGACACGGCCCAGACUCCUACGGGAGGCAGCAGUAGGGAAUCUUCCGCAAUGGACGAAAGUCUGACGGAGCAACGCCGCGUGAGUGAUGAAGGUUUUCGGAUCGUAAAGCUCUGUUGUUAGGGAAGAACAAGUGCGAGAGUAACUGCUCGCACCUUGACGGUACCUAACCAGAAAGCCACGGCUAACUACGUGCCAGCAGCCGCGGUAAUACGUAGGUGGCAAGCGUUGUCCGGAAUUAUUGGGCGUAAAGGGCUCGCAGGCGGUUUCUUAAGUCUGAUGUGAAAGCCCCCGGCUCAACCGGGGAGGGUCAUUGGAAACUGGGAAACUUGAGUGCAGAA